UUUUGGCUCUAAAGCCCAUCCUUAUCAAGCUAGUUCUCCUGCGACCUAGACCUAGGUUUCAGAACUGGGGCAAUGAUACCACGGGAAGGCAGGUGUGAUGUUGUCUUCUCCCAAGGACCUUCUCCAACCACACUACUCGAAGUGUGUCCAGAAUUGGUGGGCUCUUGGUCUCGCUGACUUCAAGAAUGAAGCCGUGGACCCUCGCGAUUAAACAAGUGCAACUUUCCCAAUCUCACACAACUACUUGUGGAGCCAGGAUUCCAUACAGGCAAUGCCUUCAUGGUAAUUGAGCUUCCACUGAGGAAGAAGAAGAGAGAAGAUUGAAGAGGUGGACCGGCUGCACAUUUCAUCAUGAAGAUUUAUCCGGAGAUCCAAGAGACUGACUCAGGCUAUGAAUCAGCUACGUAAGUUCCAUGAAAGGGCUAUGUCUUCUAAGAAAAAGGAUCACGCUGACCUCCACUUUCAACAAGUUGCCUCUAAGCAUGAAGUGACCCUAAGAGAUAGGAAGAUAAGGAGGGACAAUCUUUUGAUCUAAUCUAAGAGGUAAUCUAAUUUUAAUGCAAGUGGAAGAACUGAAAAGCUGCACAGAGUAUAAAAAGAAGGACUAAGGUAGUAGAGAAAGAGGAUCUUCCCUUUGCCAGCCACUGUUUCUAAGCUUAUCUCCCACAGACCUUUAUAUAUAUAUAUUUUUUUUUGAAGACCUGGAAGAAAGGUGAUUCAUCUCUAUGAUGGGAGAAUUUCUUGAAGCCACAAAGUGAUGAGAAAUUGAUGUUCAUAAUAUUAGUUGCCAAGAAAAGACAGGUCACCAUUCUCUAAAUUCUGGACUUUCUUCUUAGGCUGUAAGCCCUUGCAUUAGUUUUGAUCAUAACUUACUUCAUGGACCAUCUUCAUUUAAAAGCCAGCAGCGCUAUCCCAAUCACCUGUGGAGCUAAAGUGACUGAGGUAGUCAUAUUAUAUUGAAUGUUAAUAUUUUAUUUUCCAAAAAGUAUAAUGAGUCUGCUUAAAUAAGAAUCCAUCAAAUUGAAAAUUAUUAUUUUUGCUACCAUAAAUAAUUCUGGAGUGGCAGUGGAUCAAUCAACACUAUAUCUGCUGUU
rnacentral:lncRNA from 1 species